rnacentral:rRNA from 1 species
AACUGGGUCUAAUACUGGAUGCUACAUGUCACCGCAUGGUGGUGUGUGGAAAGGGUUUACUGGUCUUGGAUGGGCUCACGGCCUAUCAGCUUGUUGGUGAGGUAAUGGCUCACCAAGGCGACGACGGGUAGCCGGCCUGAGAGGGUGACCGGCCACACUGGGACUGAGACACGGCCCAGACUCCUACGGGAGGCAGCAGUGGGGAAUAUUGCACAAUGGGCGAAAGCCUGAUGCAGCGACGCCGCGUGAGGGAUGACGGCCUUCGGGUUGUAAACCUCUUUCAGCAGGGAAGAAGCCACAAGUGACGGUACCUGCAGAAGAAGCGCCGGCUAACUACGUGCCAGCAGCCGCGGUAAUACGUAGGGCGCAAGCGUUGUCCGGAAUUAUUGGGCGUAAAGAGCUCGUAGGCGGUUUGUCGCGUCUGCUGUGAAAGCCCGGGGCUUAACCCCGGGUGUGCAGUGGGUACGGGCAGACUAGAGUGCAGUAGGGGAGACUGGAAUUCCUGGUGUAGCGGUGGAAUGCGCAGAUAUCAGGAGGAACACCGAUGGCGAAGGCAGGUCUCUGGGCUGUUACUGACGCUGAGGAGCGAAAGCAUGGGGAGCGAACAGGAUUAGAUACCCUGGUAGUCCAUGCCGUAAACGUUGGGCA